rnacentral:tRNA from 1 species
UAGGAAAUAGUGUAGUGGAAGCACUAGGAGUUUUGAUCUCCUAAGGAUGGGUUCAAAUCCCUUUUUCCUAA